GAUGAACGCUGGCGGCGUGCCUAAUACAUGCAAGUCGAGCGAAUGGAUUAAGAGCUUGCUCUUAUGAAGUUAGCGGCGGACGGGUGAGUAACACGUGGGUAACCUGCCCAUAAGACUGGGAUAACUCCGGGAAACCGGGGCUAAGACCGGAUAACAUUUUGAACCGCAUGGUUCGAAAUUGAAAGGCGGCUUCGGCUGUCACUUAUGGAUGGACCCGCGUCGCAUUAGCUAGUUGGUGAGGUAACGGCUCACCAAGGCAACGAUGCGUAGCCGACCUGGGAGGGUGAUCGGCCACGCUGGGACUGAGACACGGCCCAGACUCCUACGGGAGGCAGCAGUAGGGAAUCUUCCGCAAUGGACGAAAGUCUGACGGAGCAACGCCGCGUGAGUGAUGAAGGCUUUCGGGUCGUAAAACUCUGUUGUUAGGGAAGAACAAGUGCUAGUUGAAUAAGCUGGCACCUUGACGGUACCUAACCAGAAAGCCACGGCUAACUACGUGCCAGCCGCCGCAGUAA
rnacentral:rRNA from 1 species